GUAACACGUGGAUAACCUACCUAUAAGACUGGGAUAACUUCGGGAAACCGGAGCUAAUACCGGAUAAUAUUUUGAACCGCAUGGUUCAAAAGUGAAAGACGGUCUUGCUGUCACUUAUAGAUGGAUCCGCGCUGCAUUAGCUAGUUGGUAAGGUAACGGCUUACCAAGGCAACGAUGCAUAGCCGACCUGAGAGGGUGAUCGGCCACACUGGAACUGAGACACGGUCCAG
rnacentral:rRNA from 1 species